CUUCCUUCCAAGGAUGGAUGCUCUUCAUUACAUGAGUCUCUCGUAUCUUAGAGAUAUCUUUUGUUGAGUAGAGGCAUUCUGAGGUGUUCCAAUCCUCAUUUUAAAGGCGGAAGACAGAACGUGGAGACUAGGUGACUUACGCAUUGUCACACAUGACAAAGAAAGCAAGCAACUAUGAUAAAGGGUCAAGCAAAUAUGGAGUAUCGAAAGUAGACAAUGAAACAAUUCUCCAUCAGUCAAGAAAGUUGUGAAGCUAAAUUUGGAGCACACUGAAUAAAGGUGUGGUGUGCAGGGGUCACAUAAAAGGUGAGCAAGACGCUAAAGGCUCCACCUCCCCACUGUGAGGUAACAUCUGCAGUCAAACCAGUUCUUCAAUCUAUUGAGGAAGGAAAUAGGCGAAGAAAGUUAAACUUCUUUUCUCAAGGGGCCUAACUGUUGGCCCAGGCUGGGUUCCAAGAGCAGAACAAGGGAUGGUAACUGGUGAGGCUGUCCUUUUGCUGAAUGAAGAGAAGAAAAGAAGCAUUCCAAGUCUGUUUCCCCGGCACAGGAAGGACCAGGAAGCAAGGAAAUCUCCAAUUUUCAAGUCCACUGAGCAGAAUACAAGAACAGGGUCCAAAAUAAAGAGUUCUCCAUUAAGACCCAGCAAGAUGGAGCAAUGAAGUCCUGCAGGCAGGCUGAGCCUGGAAAGGAGCCCAGAG
rnacentral:lncRNA from 1 species